UACGGAGGGGGCUAGCGUUGUUCGGAAUUACUGGGCGUAAAGCGCACGUAGGCGGACUGUUAAGUCGGGGGUGAAAUCCUGGGGCUCAACCUCAGAAUUGCCUCCGAUACUGGCAGUCUCGAGUGCGGGAGAGGUGAGUGGAAUUCCCAGUGUAGAGGUGAAAUUCGUAGAUAUUGGGAAGAACACCAGUGGCGAAGGCGGCUAACUGGUCCGAUACUGACGCUGAGGUGCGAAAGCGUGGGGAGCAAACAGG
rnacentral:rRNA from 1 species